AGUGACUAGUUUGCCAACACACCC
rnacentral:siRNA from 1 species